GUGAGGAUCAAUCCAGACUAGUUACAUAUGAAAAUCCCAUUAGGGAAUGAAGUUGAAAUUUCUGGUUUCUUUGGAGACUCAGUUAUGUCAUGUGAUGUUUGCUGAAGCAGACAUGUGAGAAGAUGCAUGGUAUUUAGAAAGAAUAUAAAUAUGACCACAGACACUGGGACAAGGCUAGUGCUUCAGUUCGUUUUGCACCUCAUCACUGAUCUUCCCUUGUAACUUUAUAGAGAGUAACUCACCAAAAGAACUUCUGAUAUUCUGGCUGAUUCUUUCUGCUUCUGUGGACUCAUGCUAACAGAGCCUCACCAUUUCUUCUGGAUCCAUCAGCCAAUACUGAUUUAUGUUUGGUGUUUUCCAAUUAGACUGGACUGCUGCUACUGGUUUGUAUUUUAUGUUUUGGACCGGACCACUGAUGUUCUGACAAACAAAGAUUGUGAUCUUCCCAAAGAACUACUUCUAAACAGGUCUACAACUCCUGUUUCCUGUUAACCUUCCUUUCCCCCUACCUCUGGUAGGCAGGAUAGAAGGGAAGCAUUUAAGAACCCUUAUUAAAGUAGGUUUUGAAAAAUUCAAGCCUAAAAGGGAACUUGGUAGUUUGUAUGCUAGUUAGAAAUUAAAUUAAAAUUUCAAUUUGCCAUCCACUUUUGUGGCAAACUUUGCACCAACUUUCCAUUCACAUCCCUAUUAAUAAUCAGACAAUAGCAAAAAGUGCUGUGAUCUUGGUUCAAAGAUUUCAAAAGGAAAUAGUAUGGUCUGGGGAUAUAGCAAUGGCAGAGCACAUAUCCAGCAUCUGAUACAUACACACACCGCUGCCAGCUCCAUCCCAACACCCACUCAAGAAUAUUGGAAAAAUAUGGAUAAUACAGUCACUUGGUUUUAUUUUCUAGAAGACCAGGGGUACCUUUUUAAACAUUCUCCUCCAAGUAUUUAAUGACUUUCUAAUAUUACUUACAUAAACAUGCAACCAGAAUUAAUAAAAGAAGCAUUUCCAUUAUUUUCUGCAUAUGAAAUUCCAAAGUAUAGUCAAAUUAGAUGAUUGUUACUUUAAUUGACCAUCUGAACAGAUGAAACUUUUCACAAUGUCUUUAAAAGGUAUUUCUCUUUACUAUUUACAGUAGAUAUAAUUAAAAUGUAUAAUGCAAUCUUAACUUUCUUCUCUUUUCUAUUAUUGUUGUUAUUAUUUACUGCAAAGGCAAUUGCAUGCCUACAGUCUUUUGUUUCCAAUUUAUAUGCUUACAUAUGGACCUUGGGACUACAGCAUUUUCUUACCAAGAGAUAAAAUGUCAUUAGGGAGUAUGCUGGGCUUAUUGCCUUGAGCAAUAAUAUCUUUUUUUUUUCUGUUGAAAGCUCAAUGUGUCAUUGUUAUGCUUAAAUGUGUGCUUCACAGAAUUACAUCCCUUAAGCCACAUCCUCCCUGGGUAUGUAUGGUGUCUUCCUUCUGUGGCAAGAACAGAGUGUGCCAUAGGCAAGUUGCCAUUUCAACUGCCAGAAUGUAAGUGAAACUGCUACUCCUGCUGUCUGUUUUCUGUAUGAGUGAAGCUGUUUCUCCUUCCAGCGACUGACUAUGCUGUUCUUUCCCUAGGUGAUUCUAUCAAGAUCCAGUGAGGAGAUGUACUGAAGUUGGUAACUUACCUGUUUCCUCUCCUGAUGUCCAGAAUUCCCCCUCGAGUUUAGUUCCCGGCUGGGACUGUCCGUGGCAGUUCGAGGCACUACUCCAGUUGCUGGAGACCAAACUGCACAUCUGCUCCAACUAUGUAGAGGGCCUAGUCUAGCCCCUGCAUGCUCUUUGGCUGGUGUUCCAGUUUCUAUAAGCCCCAUGGGCCCAGACUCUGAGCUCUGCCUGACGUUUAGCUGUGGAUAUCCGCAUCUGUUUCCAUCAGCUGCUGGAUGAAGCCUCUCCGUAAAUAUCAUUAAACACAUGUUUGUUCCUCUUGUUGAUGAGCCAAGGCUGAGUGAGGCCUGGCUGUCUCUGCUACACAGUGCCACUGCUGCUGCUAUCCCAACUCUGUUGAACUGGACUGCUGGUAUAUCCCGAGAAGUUUUUACAAGUGGAUCAAGCUGCUGCUGCUAACCUGUGUACUGAACUGCUGAUUUCCAGACAACACAGAUAGGAGUUAUUCCAAAGAACCUUUUUAAACAGGUCCAUUUUCUCCAUAUCCUUUCUUUUUCACUACAUCUGGUGGGUGGUGAGCUAGAAGGGGGUUAAAGUAUUUAAGAACCAUCAUUAAAAGUAGACUUUGAAAAAAUUAAAGUUACACCCAUCUGCUGUGCCUGAGCAAGGUACUAAUCUGUGAAUAUAGCAGAAUGUCAUUUUAUUGCUGUGUUCUUUAGUAAAAUAGUAGAUUUUGGUUUUACCCUAGGACCCUGGGCUGUCUAAUUUCAGGUCCUUUGUUACCCAAGCAUCUUUGAGUAUGGGUUUUGUGGUGGUGCGAAUGUGCUUGGCCCAUGCAAAGUGGCAUUAUUAGGGUGUGUGGCCUUGUUGGAGGAAGUGUGUUACUUUGUAGGUGGGCUUUGAGGGCCCUUAGUGCUCAAGAUCUUCUCAGUGCAGAAGAGAGUUUCCUGAGCUGCCUGAGGAACAGAACCUCUUCCUGGCUGCUGGCAGAAGGCAGUCUACUCCUGCUGCCUGCAGAUCAAGAUGUAGAUUGCUUCCUACCAUGAUGAUAAUAGACUGAACCUCUGAAACUUUAGGCCAACCCCAAUUAAAUGUUUGUCUUUGUAAGAGUUGUCUUGGUCAUGUUGUCUGUUCACAGCAAUAAAACCCUAACUAAGACAAGUUCUAUUUCAUGUAGUGGAUCUUAAAUCAAAUCAGAUAUUGGCUACUUACUCCAUCAAGCUUUGUGCCACCAUUGGACUAGUAUAUCUUAUAAACAAGACACCAUUUUAGACUGAAGAGUUUGUAGCUGGGUUGGUGUUUACAUUUCUCUAUUGGUAGCAUGCAGAGUACCUCUAGUACCAAGAACACUAGCCUGUAGGGUUGACCAUUCCUGGUAGGCACCAAGUAAACUUUGUGUUCUAUGAGUUGUGUAGAUUUGUCUUAGCAAUAGGGUCUUGCCUUCAGUUUUCGGAGAGCAUCCUAGUCCUAGUGACAGCCUGGUUGUUUGGGGUUCCCAUGGGGCCCCUUUGGCCAAUAACUCAGUUAGUUGUAACUCAUUCCCAGUACUGGAAGGUGUAUUUGGUGCCAGGAGAUGUUCAACCAGGCCUCUCCCCCCCAGUAUCUGGCAGUCUCAUUUAUGUAGCCUCUAUAUGUGUAUGUAUUUUAGGAAGGCUCUACUGUAUCAGGUUUCCACUGCAACUUUCAAAUGACCCUGAAUUUUAGCUGUCCCCCUCUUACCUUCCCCUCCCUAAGUAGUUUAUUGAUAUAAUUAUGCAUAUUUGGAGGUACAAUGUGACAAUUUUAUAUGUGUGAAAUAUAUAA